CUGUAUGCUGCUCUUGCCAGAGACAGACCAGGAAUGGAGUCUUAGAACUUUUACUUGUAACGUCUAUGGGGCAAGGACUGUAACUUCCUAAAUGUCUCUACAGUGACUGAGAUGCCGUGUAGCUGUAGUUGCAUUGGAGCCAGGAUAUUAGAGAGAAAAGAGAGGUUAAUGGAUAAACAUUAUGGGGCAGAUUCUCUCUCCUGCUCUGGACCCUCUGUGCCACGCUGGUGAUGCAAGAGCCUUGAAGAGGCCAUAUCUAGCCAGACAAGCUGUCAUGUGCAGUGAAUGAGAUCCUAUUUAGCAGUAUCAAACAGAAGACAAUAAAGGGCCAACUCCUCAGCUGACUUCAACAGAGCUCUCCCAGUUUACACCAGCUGAGGAUCUGGGCCCCAGUGUCUUAAGAGAAAUGCUGUACCUGGUUUGACUGUCUUUGCCUUGUGAGGAUCUGACACUCAGAAAGUUAAAGAGCCAGCAUUCUGUAUUACAGCAGCACUUAGAGACCGCAACUGAGACCAUGUUGCCAUCAUACUAAGCACUAUACUACACAUGUACCCCUCUGGUCUGGUCUGCCCUUGAAGGUACAGGUAAGUAGAAAACAGUAUAACCCAAGCAUUGCACUCCCCACAGUGUGGGUGAGUCCUAAGGUAUAAGGAGGGGAUUCAGUUGUCAGAAUUAAACUCUAAAAAUCUCUAAAUAAAUAAAUACAAUAAAUACCCACUUUUCCCCAAAGAGACUGGAUUAUAGGAAUGUACAUUUAAGACUGAGAGAGUCAAUUGAAGAUACUCCCAGGAACAGUUAUAUUAAUGUCUGUUGGAAUUUGUCAGUUUGCAGGAAGCUCCUACAGUUGUAUUGCUAUUUCCUCAGCAUUGAAAAGUUGGCAAGAAAACAAAUUAGCCCAAGCAAAACUCUGUUAUCCUCUCCGCCCCCCACCUCCACCAUAAAUACAGGUGUCUCCCUUCCUCAAGUCCAGGAACCCCUCACCUACUGCACAGCUCUGAAUGGACUCUCUAUCUCUCUGUGUCUCUCACACCACCUGUGUCACUCUCAUUCAUUACACACGCACAUACACAUUCUGGAUUUUCUUAUGUGUGGAUGCAUGCUCGCACCUCAACUAUCACACACAAACAUACAUACUCCCCACAUCACAAAAGCACACUUCCCAUAAGUUUCUCACACACUCUCCAGCCCCACACUACACCACCUCACCUUUCACUCACUGCCUUGACUCACUCUGAUUUACCCCAUUCAUUCCCGCACAUUAGUCAGAGGUACACAAGAAUGAUCACACUGGAUCAGACCAAAGGUCCAUCUAGUCCAUAUCCUGUCUCAAACAGUGGCCAGUGCUGGAUACUUCAGAGGAAGAUGCAAGAAACCCACAAUAGGCAGAAAUGGGAUAAUCGGCUCCCAUGGAGAUCUCAUCUUAAUCCAUAAUACUGAGAGACUGUCUUAAACCCUGGUGCAUGAGAUUUAAUAUCCCUUCCAAAUUUUUCAUAGCACUAACCAGUAUAACUUGGACUAUUCUUGUUACCUUACAAAUGACCAGUCCCUCUGUGAAUCUUGCUAAAUUCUUGGCCUCAACAACCACCUGUGGCAAUGAGUUCCCCAGUCUAUGCAGUCAUAACCAUACAGCUAAGGGUAACCUAGAAUUCCUCCUUACCUGUAAGGGGUUAAGAAGCUCAAAUAAACUGGUUGGCACCUGACCAAAAGGACCAAUGGGGAAAGAAGAUAUUUUCAAAUCUUGGGUGGGGGUGGGAGAAGGCUUUGUUGUGUGUGUUCUCUUGGGAAGCAGAGAAGCAUCAGGUCAAAAAACUCCUUCUCCUAUAAACCAUCCUAAAAGUCUUUCAUAUUAAAAAAAUUGUAAGUAAAAGGCAGGCAAGGCAUGUUAGAUUAUCUUUUGUUUUGCUUGUGAAUUUAUCCUUUGCUGGAGGGAGGUUUAUUCCUGUUUUUUGUAACUUUGAAACUAAGCCUAGGGGAAGUUCUGCUGUAUUUUUGAAUCUUCUGUUACCCUGUAAAGUUAUUUUCCAUCCUGAUUUUACAGAGGUGAUUUUUACCUUUUUUUUUAAAUAAAAUCCUUCUUUUAAGAA